CGGGAUCGGAUGACGGGGGCACCGCUCCGGAGGGAGUUAACUGCCAUACGUUCGUCCGGCACCGCAUCGGUGUUCCAGCCGCGAUAUUGUUUGCCCGGCCCGCCGGGUGCAGCCCCCGUCCGUUGCCGGGCAGGCACAUUCGCCCGCUGC